rnacentral:rRNA from 1 species
CCUACGGGGGGCAGCAGUGGGGAAUAUUGCACAAUGGGGGAAACUCUGAUGCAGCGACGCCGCGUGAGUGAAGAAGUAAUUCGUUAUGUAAAGCUCUAUCAGCAGGGAAGAAAAUGACGGUACCUGAGUAAGAAGCCCCGGCUAACUACGUGCCAGCAGCCGCGGUAAUACGUCGGGGGCAAGCGUUAUCCGGAUUUACUGGGUGUAAAGGGAGCGUAGACGGCAGUGCAAGUCAGGAGUGAAAGGCGGGGGCUCAACCACCGGACUGCUCUGGAAACUGUACGGCUGGAGAGCAGGAGAGGUAAGUGGAAUGCCUGGUGUAGCGGUGAAAUGCGUAGAGAUCAGGAGGAACACCGGUGGCGAAGGCAGCUUACUGGACUGUAACUGACGUUGAGGCUCGAAAGCGUGGGGAGCAAACAGGAUUAGAUACCCGAGUAGUC